rnacentral:rRNA from 1 species
UACGUAGGGUGCAAGCGUUGUCCGGAAUUAUUGGGCGUAAAGAGCUCGUAGGCGGUCUGUCGCGUCGGCUGUGAAAUACCGGAGCUCAACUCCGGGUCUGCAGUCGAUACGGGCAAACUGGAGUACUGCAGGGGAGACUGGAAUUCCUGGUGUAGCGGUGAAAUGCGCAGAUAUCAGGAGGAACACCGGUGGCGAAGGCGGGUCUCUGGGCAGUAACUGACGCUGAGGAGCGAAAGCGUGGGGAGCGAACAGG